rnacentral:rRNA from 1 species
GACGAACGCUGGCGGCGUGCCUAAUACAUGCAAGUCGAACGCUGAAGAGAGGAGCUUGCUCUUCUUGGAUGAGUUGCGAACGGGUGAGUAACGCGUAGGUAACCUGCCUUGUAGCGGGGGAUAACUAUUGGAAACGAUAGCUAAUACCGCAUAACAAUGGAUGACACAUGUCAUUUAUUUGAAAGGGGCAAUUGCUCCACUACAAGAUGGACCUGCGUUGUAUUAGCUAGUAGGUGAGGUAACGGCUCACCUAGGCGACGAUACAUAGCCGACCUGAGAGGGUGAUCGGCCACACUGGGACUGAGACACGGCCCAGACUCCUACGGGAGGCAGCAGUAGGGAAUCUUCGGCAAUGGGGGCAACCCUGACCGAGCAACGCCGCGUGAGUGAAGAAGGUUUUCGGAUCGUAAAGCUCUGUUGUAAGUCAAGAACGAGUGUGAGAGUGGAAAGUUGACACUGUGACGGUAGCUUACCAGAAAGGGACGGCUAACUACGUG